rnacentral:rRNA from 1 species
UACGUAGGGUGCGAGCGUUAAUCGGAAUUACUGGGCGUAAAGGGUGCGCAGGCGGUUUUGUAAGCCGGAUGUGAAAUCCCCGGGCUUAACCUGGGAAUGGCAUUCGGGACUGCAAGGCUGGAGUGCGGCAGAGGAGACUGGAAUUCCUGGUGUAGCAGUGAAAUGCGUAGAUAUCAGGAGGAACACCGAUGGCGAAGGCAGGUCCCUGGGCUGUUCUUGACGCUGAGGCGCGAAAGCUAGGGGAGCAAACGGG